AUAGAUAGGGCAGUGAUUAGGUCUGAAAGAUUCAUAGGCUUGCCAUGCUUGUUAAUGCAUCUUGGUAUUCCUAAUUGAACUGCACAUUUUAAGGACAUGGAAUUUAUGAAGUUGAAAAUAUGGUUCCAUAUAUGAGCUUGAGCUUCGAGUUGCUGAUUAGAAUCUUGGUUUAGAAUUCCGUCAGCCAU